rnacentral:rRNA from 1 species
UACGAAGGGUGCAAGCGUUACUCGGAAUUACUGGGCGUAAAGGGUGCGUAGGUGGUUUGUUAAGUCUGCUGUGAAAUCCCCCGGGCUCAACCUGGGAAUGGCAGUGGAUACUGGCAAGCUAGAGUGCGGAAGGGGCAAUCGGAAUUCUCGGUGUAGCGGUGAAAUGCGUAGAUAUCGAGAGGAACACCAGAGGUGAAGACGGGUUGCUGGGCCGACACUGACGCUGACAGCGCGAAAGCCAGGGGAGCAAACGGG